rnacentral:snoRNA from 1 species
AUGUCGUGAUGAGGGCACUUUCAUCAUAACUCCUUCAACCUCUCCCAUGCCUCAUAUAAAGAUUCUUCAUUAAGUUGUUGAAAUGAAAUGAUUUCAUUUCAAAUCUU